rnacentral:rRNA from 1 species
CGGUUAAGUUAUUAAGGGCGCACGGUGGAUGCCUUGGCACUAGGAGCCGAUGAAGGACGGGACUAACACCGAUAUGCUUCGGGGAGCUGUAAGUAAGCUUUG